AACGAACGCUGGCGGCAUGCCUAACACAUGCAAGUCGAACGAAGGCUUCGGCCUUAGUGGCGCACGGGUGCGUAACGCGUGGGAAUCUGCCCUUUGGUUCGGAAUAACAGCCGGAAACGGCUGCUAAUACCGGAUGAUGUCGUAAGUCCAAAGAUUUAUCGCCAGAGGAUGAGCCCGCGUUGGAUUAGGUAGUUGGUGGGGUAAAAGCCUACCAAGGCGACGAUCCAUAGCUGGUCUGAGAGGAUGAUCAGCCACACUGGGACUGAGACACGGCCCAGACUCCUACGGGAGGCAGCAGUGGGGAAUAUUGGACAAUGGGCGAAAGCCUGAUCCAGCAAUGCCGCGUGAGUGAUGAAGGCCUUAGGGUUGUAAAGCUCUUUUACCCGGGAAGAUAAUGACUGUACCGGGAGAAUAAGCCCCGGCUAACUCCGUG
rnacentral:rRNA from 1 species